rnacentral:pre_miRNA from 1 species
AAUAGAUUGCUGGGUGUUAUGGUUAUUUAUACUUGGCUUUUCAAGAAACUGCUGAAUUACUUUCCAAAAUGGUUGCACCAUUUGGCAAUCCCACCAGCAGU